AGCGAACGCUGGCGGCAGGCCUAACACAUGCAAGUCGAACGGAUCCUUCGGGAUUAGUGGCGGACGGGUGAGGAACACGUGGGAACGUGCCUUUUGGUUCGGAACAACUCAGGGAAACUUGAGCUAAUACCGGAUGUGCCCUUCGGGGGAAAGAUUUAUCGCCAUUAGAGCGGCCCGCGUCUGAUUAGCUAGUUGGUGGGGUAAAGGCUCACCAAGGCUACGAUCAGUAGCUGGUCUGAGAGGAUGAUCAGCCACACUGGGACUGAGACACGGCCCAGACUCCUACGGGAGGCAGCAGUGGGGAAUCUUGCGCAAUGGGGCGAAAGCCUGACGCAGCCAUGCCGCGUGAAUGAUGAAGGUCUUAGGAUUGUAAAAUUCUUUACCCGGGAUGAUAAUGACAGUACCGGGAGAAUAAAGCCCCGGCUAAACUCCGUGCCAGCAGCCGCGGUAAU
rnacentral:rRNA from 1 species